GCGACAGCUUUUGACCAGAGUUUUGAUUAGAACGAUUAUUCCAGGCAUUAUUAGAUAUUCUUCCACUGCCACGAUUUCCUCCUGUGAUAAAUAUGUUAACACAAUAGGUUAUUUUGCUUCUUUUCACACAACACGAAAAUACUUACUCUAAAUUAUUCCAUUCCAAUGAAUAAAACCUUCAUCUACAAAGUUGUUUGAAGUAGCAG